rnacentral:rRNA from 1 species
ACUCCUACGGGAGGCAGCAGUAGGGAAUCUUCCACAAUGGGCGCAAGCCUGAUGGAGCAACACCGCGUGAGUGAAGAAGGGUUUCGGCUCGUAAAGCUCUGUUGUUAAAGAAGAACACGUAUGAGAGUAACUGUUCAUACGUUGACGGUAUUUAACCAGAAAGUCACGGCUAACUACGUGCCAGCAGUCGCGGUAAUACGUAGGUGGCAAGCGUUAUCCGGAUUUAUUGGGCGUAAAGAGAGUGCAGGCGGUUUUCUAAGUCUGAUGUGAAAGCCUUCGGCUUAACCGGAGAAGUGCAUCGGAAACUGGAUAACUUGAGUGCAGAAGAGGGUAGUGGAACUCCAUGUGUAGCGGUGGAAUGCGUAGAUAUAUGGAAGAACACCAGUGGCGAAGGCGGCUACCUGGUCUGCAACUGACGCUGAGACUCGAAAGCAUGGGUAGCGAACAGGAUUAGAUACCCUGGUAGGAUAGCG